rnacentral:misc_RNA from 1 species
GAUGAAGAACGUAGCGAAAUGCGAUAAGUAGUGUGAAUUGCAGAAUUCAGUGAAUCAUCGAAUCCUUGAACGCACAUUGCGCCCCUUGGUAUUCCAUGGGGCAUGCCUGUUCGAGCGUCAUUUGUACCUUCAAGCUCUGCUUGGUGUUGGGUGUUUGUCUCGCCUCUGCGUGUAGACUCGCCUCAAAACAAUUGGCAGCCGGCGUAUUGAUUUCGGAGCGCAGUACAUCUCGCGCUUUGCACUCAUAACGACGACGUCCAAAAGUACAUUUUUACACUCUUGACCUCGGAUCAGGUAGGGAUACCCGCUGAACUUAAGCAUAUCAAUAAGCGGAGGA